UGUAAUCAAUUUUCUCAUUUUCACAGUUUACUAGUGUAGGUUUCAUAAGGUAAAUUAACCAGGCAUUAUACGUGGACAUAUAUAUAAAUUAUGCAAGUAUAAUAUAUAAUAUAUAUAUCCAUUUACCAGCUCUAAAUGUAGUUUGUCUUAUUUAAAGUCCAUAAUCUUGAAUAAAUGGGAAACCAUAUAAAAAAUGAUCAUUAAUAGGUUGCAACAGUUUGCUGUUAUCUAAAUAGGUGGAGGACAAGCGUAAAUAUUUUGCAUUCAAAAGACAGAAAACAUUGUAAAAUAUCCAGAAAAGGAUAAUUCAAACCAUAUAAAAGUGCUUACUUAGACGAAUCAGUUGACAUUCAUAGUACAGGGGUAAUUGGGGGUGCAUAAUCAAGGUUUAAGAAGGAAGUCUGGGCCACCUGGGAGGCUCUGUCAGUUAAGUGUCCGACUCUUGGACUCUUGAUUCAGCGCAGGUCAUGAUCUCAGGGUUGUGAGAUGGAGCCAGCGUCAGGCUUAAGAUUCUCUCUCCCUCACCCGUUUGUCCCUCUCUCCUUCUUCUCUUAAAAAAAAAUUACAGUAUGUGUUUCAAAUGAACUCAUUUCUGUAGAUAAAUAACUUGACUGGGACUAGUAGGCGCUAACUAAUAACUGGCGGUGACUAUUUCAGAGAUUCUUGGCUCUGAUCCUCUUCAGUGGAUUGGAUUCUCUUGGUUUCUAAGUUGUUUUAGGAUCCAGAUCUGUUGCUCAUAGACUUUGUCAUAUAUGCUCUUAAUUUUAAUCGACUGAAAGAUUUAGUUCUUUAAGCUGCAACCAAAAUUUUCAACUAAUAUAAAUCAUACUUUUUCAUAAUUUAGGAGCUGCCGGCCUGGAAAGGAAUACUUAGAGCUGCUAUUCUGUAGAAAUUUACUAACUAUACAGUGUCCUAUUAACACGGCUUAUAAUGAAAAGAAAGAGAAAACCCUAGGCUCAGGAAGGUGGAGGCGGGCAAGCGGCUGCUGGCGAAGACCCUCCUGUGCAACUACGCAGGGAAGGAAGGACAGUGAGGCUGCGUAGACAGCCAGGACCCUGCAGAAGGCUCCCCUCCAGGGCUGUGACCGCCUCUGGCCGCGGGGAGCCACCACUGGCCCGACCGAGAGCAGGAGGCCCCCGAGGACCCCGCGGCCCCCGCAGCUGUCCACCUGUUUCUGAAUAUCAUCGGGGAGGAUGGCGAGCGGGAGGCCGUGAUACCCAUGCUACCAAUGGUGCAGCAACAGGGUCGAGGUUUGAAGAUCCUUCUGGAGGGGCACCUGGCUGGCUCAGUUGGUUGGGUGUCCGAUUCUGGAUGUCAGCUCCGGAUGUGAUCUUGGUGUCCUGGAAUCAGGCCAGCAUCAGGGUGGGGUGGGGUGCAGGGUCUGCUUGGGGGUCUCUCCCCCUGCCCACUUGAAUACUAAAUAAAUAAAUAAAUAAAUAAAUAAAUAAAUAAAUAAAUAAAUAAAAUCAAUCUAAAAAAAAAAUCCUUUUGGGAUGUCUACUCGAGCUUCCUGGUUUUCGUGUCC
rnacentral:lncRNA from 1 species